AUUCUUUUAGUAUUAAUUAGUACGGUUGACUUCCAAUCAAUUAGUUUCGGUCAAGUCCGAAAAAGAAUA
rnacentral:tRNA from 1 species